GAUGAACGCUGGCGGCGUGCCUAAUACGUGCAAGUCGAGCGAACGGACGAGAAGCUUGCUUCUCUGAUGUUAGCGGCGGACGGGUGAGUAACACGUGGAUAACCUACCUAUAAGACUGGGAUAACUUCGGGAAACCGGAGCUAAUACCGGAUAAUAUUUUGAACCGCAUGGUUCAAAAGUGAAAGACGGUCUUGCUGUCACUUAUAGAUGGAUCCGCGCUGCAUUAGCUAGUUGGUAAGGUAACGGCUUACCAAGGCAACGAUGCAUAGCCGACCUGAGAGGGUGAUCGGCCACACUGGAACUGAGACACGGUCCAGACUCCUACGGGAGGCAGCAGUAGGGAAUCUUCCGCAAUGGGCGAAAGCCUGACGGAGCAACGCCGCGUGAGUGAUGAAGGUCUUCGGAUCGUAAAACUCUGUUAUUAGGGAAGAACAUAUGUGUAAGUAACUGUGCACAUCUUGACGGUACCUAAUCAGAAAGCCGCGGCUAACUACGUG
rnacentral:rRNA from 1 species